rnacentral:tRNA from 1 species
GCCUGGCUGGCUCAGUCGGUAGAGCAUGCAACUCUUGAUUUCAGGAUUGUAAAUUUGAGCCCCACAUUGGGUAGAGAGAUCACUUAAAAAUAAAAUCAUUAGGGGCGCCUGGAUGGCUCAGUCGUUAAGCAUCUGUCUUCGGUUCAGGUCAUGAUCCCAGUGUCCUGGGAUCGAGCCCCACAUCAGGCU